AGUUAGAUGGCAUUGGCAGAAAGAUGCUGGGAUCUCAGCCAUGCAUGGUAGAAAAUAUAAGCAAGCUGGGGCUGAGUACAAGCCAGGAAGAUUAACUCAUCAAUGAGGAGGCUCCUUGUGAAGGACACUUCAAAGACUACUAUUUAAUUGGGGCAUAACCACUUGUAUUAAUUGGAUAGGCCGACUGCAGUAACUAAGGUUCGUGAGUGUAUGAUGACUCAUGAACAGUCCAAAAUAGUUCCAGUUGGUGGAUAACUAUGCUUCACCCAGAAAUCCAGGGAUCCAGGCUGACAGGAUCUACCAUCUUUAAUACAUGACUUUCAAGGUUGCCCUGGACAACAACACCAAGCCACUAGAAGGGAAAAGAGGUCACAUAGGAGGUUUUUAUGGGACAGACCUGGAACACUACUUCUCAUAUUCCUUUGGUAGAACUGAAUCAUAUGUCCACAUCCAACUGCCAGGGAGACUGGGAUAUAGGCCCAAGAAGAAGAGGAAAUAAAUUUCAUGAGGAACAGCAAUCUCUUACACAGUGUCUGUGCCCAAGGGAUGGUGAUGUGCUGUCUGGAUUAGGGCAGCAGGAGCUAAAGACAAGAUUUGGCUGAAAUUCAGACAAGAGGCAGCAUUUUCUUUUGAAUGGUUCUGCCUGGCUUAGAGUAAGACCUAGCCAGUUGCAGGUGUGGGAAAUUGUUUUGGUGGUGGGAAUGUUAUGGAUGUUAAUGUCCAGGCCCUGGGGAAAGGGAUUGCAAGAAUGAAGUAGGGUGGAGUUCCUGAACCUAAAUCACAAGGACUAAGAUUCAAGUCCAGGUUCUAGUGAUGAUAUUGAAGGCCAAUAAUGUGGACAGAGAUUUAGACAAAGGCUUACAUGUGAGGACUUGCCUUGACAUUAAGACAUCAUUCCAGGUCUCCAUUGUCAGUGUGUCUAGAACUGCUUGGCUUGGCUCUGGGUUAGUUUGGGGAUGGUCCUUAUGCUGAAAUUCUCCUUAGGCCUCUCUUUUCCAGAAGGGCACCCAGUUAUGCUCUUCAAAGGGCUUAAUUUCUCAGAAGCAAGGGUUGGAGGGGUGGCUGAAUCCUAGUACCUACGGCUUCCUCAAGCAGCCUUAGUCACACUUCCUAGCUUUUAAGAGUUUACAUUAAAAUGAUGCUAGGAUACAGGUUACAAAUUUCUGAUGUCCGGUGAUCUCAUAGGACACAUUCUGUCUCACAGUUUAGGCAUGUAACUUAGGGGCUAAAUAACUACCAUUAGAUUCUAUAUAGAGAGCUGGAACAUAAAUUGUAUGCUUUGUUUGCUUUCUUCUUUGUGGGUGGCCAAAAAAUCUUAAAAAUUGUUAAGCCUUUCUGAAAAUUGUCUUUUAAGGAUGAUACUGCAUGUACUGUCUAGAGAUGUAGUUGGAACAGAUGUUGCGAGAGGCUCUUACACUCUAAUAUGCUGAGAAUGUCUGUGUAUGCCCCAGGCAUGAUCGCAGAGAACCCAACACAUUCAUAGCACUACAGGGCGUUACCUUCCACUUGACCCUUCCAUUCUCUUGAUUGUUCAAUGCACAAGGGUCAUUAAGAGGCUGAAUGAUGAUUAUUACACUCCAUUGUGGUUGCCAGCUAUCUGAUGGCAGAUUUUCGAAAACAGAAACCACUGCAGGUUAAUGGUAUAUGGAAUGUGCAAGAUUUUGGUCUUGGAGAAAGCUAGAUUAUUUUGUAGAGCAAAACAUGGGAUGAUAAAGGCGGCAAUAUAUUGUGGCAUUUGAACACAGAAUCUGUGGUAAAUCUGCCAUUUGCUGGAAACUUAACCUUGGGUUAAUUGUAAUCAUUCAGUGCCUCAGUUUCCUCAUCUUAGAAAUGGGGAUUAUAACAGUACUCAUUUGCACAGGGUUAUAGCGAGAACUAAAUUAACCAACGUAUGUAAAGUGCUUAGCACAAAACCUGGCAUAUAGUAGGCCCUCAAAAAAUUAUUUAUUAUUAUAGGCUAAGAUUUCUUUAAAAAAACUUGUCAUUUGAGUAAUAAAAGUGGGAGAUUAAUCAGUCACCAAAUUUAAACACUUGUUCGUAGUGGUUAGAACUGGGUCCUUAGAAUUCUGUUGGUAAAAGGGAUUUUUUUUUUUAAAUCCACUCUACCUAUAUCAGCCUUUUUAGUUACCCUCCUUAAAAAGAUAUUAGAUCAAGUAGGGAAAAUGUUCCCCAGAAAAGUCUGGAGCAGAGGCUUUCAUAGUGUGGGCUCCAAGUCAGUGCCAUCAGCAUCAUAGGGAACUUGUUAGAAAUGCAAAUUCUCAGGCUGGGCACCCCAGACCUACUGAAUCAGAAACUCUUGGGGUUGGGCUCAGCAGUCUGCUUUAACAAGCCUUCUAGUUGAAUCUUAAGCUCAGAUUUGAAAAUCACUGGCUUAGAGCCAUCAGAGAUAAGCUGUUGAUAAAACGUAGCCUGUAGUCAUUGCAGAAAACUUACGGAAGUUUAUGAGCCCAGACCUGCAUUUCCAGGUGCCUUCUGGAAUCUCCACCUGAGCCCCUCAAUUCCCCUACUCUGCUUCCUCCUGUGGCAUCUUAGUUAAUAGUCCUGCCACCCUCCCUUCUAAAUUCUUCUCCUCUCUCACUUUUCACCCAACCAGCCACUAAAAAUCUGUCAAUUCCCUUUCCUGAAUGCUUCUAUCCAUCUGCUCCUCCCUUCCCACUCUCUCCACCUGCAUUCAGGCUCUCACUACCUCUUGUUGGGUUUAGUGUGGUAGUGUCAUAUUUUUGCGGCAUCUUCUGACCUUUGCUUCUGGAGUUUGCCCACUCUUCUCUCCACACUGCUGUGGAGCACUGAUGGAUCAGUUGUUUCACUGCUUAAAGACCUUUCAGUGCAGUAGACAAAUUCCUUACCAUGAGAUUCCCAGUGCUUCACAACCUAACCAGAGACUCUGUUUCUAGCCUCCUCUGUCUCAUGCCUUAUGCUCCCACCACUCUCGCCUUUCCUGUCAAUGCCAUGCUCCUUCACAGCCCCUUACUUGGCAUAUGUGUUUGCCCUUUGCCUUGUAUGUUCAUCCUCAUUAUCUGCUUACUGAGGUUCUAUUUAACAGCUCAGCUUCAAAAUCACUGAUCCUAAAGUCUUCCUUGACUCUCCUAAGGAGAUUUAGAAUCUCUCUUUGCAGUUCUCUGGCCAUAUUCUACUUUUAAAGGCAUUUACUGCUGAUAUUGAUAGCUUUCCUACCAAACUGUGAACUUCUCAGGGCCAAAACAACAAACAAACAAACAAACAAUCUUAUUCAUCUUUGCAUCUCCAGCACAGUGGUUAGCACUUAUUAAGUAGGCGCUUAAUAAACGUUUGCUGAAGGAAUAAAGCAAUGACUGUGUGUUGUUACAAGAGGAUUUUCCUUCUAAGGAACAAAACCUCAGUUGCCCAGGUGUAGAAUACUGCCUUUGAGAGAGUAUUUAUGUUCUGGAUCAUGGCAGCCAUGGAAGAGGAUCUGUUUCUGAGGGAAACCACGGGAGAGUUUGGGCAGGUGAAAUGUAAUUAUCCAUGCUGGCCCUAAGCCAAGGGUUUGCAGAGCUGCCACCAGGCCAGGGCUAAACACAAAUAGGUAUGACCUUCAUCUUGCCUCCCUUCUGAAGAGCAGCUCCUCGGGCAGCCCGCAGCUCCGGAACAGCUUGCUAGGGCCUGGGGUCAGUUUCACUUGCAGGAAAGAGGCAGCAGAGCCCUGUGACCCCGCUGAGCUGGCUCCAUCGCUGUUGGUUUAAACACACAGCCUGGUGUGGAAAAGGCAGAUGGUCUGUGAUCUUCCUCUCAUUCUUUUCGGCUGCACCACUGCAUUCCUUCUAGCUGAAGUUAGCAACACACACUUCCCUUUCGGGGCACAAGACCCCAGCAUGUAACUAUAACUUGACGUCAGGUUACCAGAAGCCAAUUUCCUCACUGUGUUUGUGUGUCUGUGUCUUCAUGUUUAUUUCUAAAAUCAAUAAAUCUCCCUACCCAAAUUACAAAGCAACACAUGCAUAAAUGCAGAAAAUUGAAAAGCCAUUUUGCAGCUGACCGUGAAUCCUUUCUGGAAGAAGGUGCAGGUUACAGAAAAAGUGGCUGAGCUGGGAUAUAAACCCAGGAAGUGUGACUUUGCUGCAGCUGGGCUCUCAGUGGGUCUACCUGGGGUGGGGGUGGGUUGGAGGCAGCAGAGGCCAACACACAUAGCAGGGACCUCUGAGUUCCCUGGUUUUGAAUAUAACUAAAACCAUAGAACCUUGGAGCUUCCACAAAUAUGACCUUGGAGGUGGCCACAGGAGAGAGGUGGAGGAACGCAGAGUGGAGAAGGAGGCAUGUUCUUUCUACAAAGCAAUCUCACAUUUAGUCAGUAUUGUGCCUCUCAACCAUUCUCUAGACAAGAUUUUAUGCACAGAGCAGAGACUUUCCCCUAAGCAGCAAUAUUCCUGUAUGUUCUACUUUUCAUUUUCUUGAUUCUCCCUCCAAAGGUCUCCAAGCAAUUUACAAACUGUAGGUUGUGUUUGCAAUUCAUACCCUUAAAGUAUAUCUAUGUUUCUCUCCCCUCUCACUUUUCUUUUGUCUUUUAUGAUUGUGACUAAAAAAGAGGAAGAGUGGAGACCAAAGCUCAUGAAUGUAUAUGAAGCCAUUACAUUUGCUGGGCGAGAUGCAUGCUCAGGCACUCCUUUUUAAAUGCUUGUCUCCCCAUCACCAGAACUGCUUUGGAGCUUUUCCCUCCAAUUGCACAAAUUCAUUAUUUACUCUUUUACUGCGUCUAUUUAUAAAUCCACAUGGACCCUCUGGGAGGCCCAAUUCGGGCCUCAGAGCUCCUGUAAUGAAGCCUGGCUCACUCUGCUCUGAUGUAGCUCACUGCUACUGCUGCUUGGGGGAUACAGUGUGUGCCCACCACUUUUUUGGAAGGUCAGCGUGACUGAGGACAAAGGAUUUUAAAUUGUGCUCUGUGGAAUCCUGGAAUCUUAAGUAAGCUGCCAAAGAGUUCUAGGAAAUAACAAAAAUAAAAUCAGCCAUCGACACUGUUUUAUUUUUCAAGGCACUAUGAUUUUGGUUUUGUUGUUAAACUUUUUCUGGGGUUAAAGUAUAUAUCUAGUGCAAGCAGACCAUACUCCCUGAAGUUUGUUUUAAAAGUUCACCAGCGGUGUGGGGCCAGUAUGUCUGGAGGAGCCAGAUGGGAGUAGUCACGGCGACAUUCCCUGGUGGUGACUUCUCCUACAUAGGGGUUUGUCUAUUUGACCAGCUUGUCAGCACCAAGCAGACGAUGCCUGACAAUAGUAAGCGCUUAAUAAAUCUUUGUUGAAUAAAUGAGUGAUUGAUUUUUUUUUGGCCACGCUGUGCCUCUGAUGGUCCUGGCUGCAGGCUUAAUUCUGUUCCAGAUUUUGUGCCCAUUUUGACCAAAGAAGGAAUUUUAUCAGCAGCUUUACUGUAUGUGCCUCGUAUGCUUAGAGUCAGGACCCUCAGGCCUGAUUGGGACCAAGGGACCCCUCAUGACCCACUGACAGACCCCUUCAAGCUCCUUAAGUUUCCUUUGCUGCACAAGGUUUGCUCCCAGGGGAAUUCCUGGGUGCUUGGCUCACCUUUGGUUCCAGCUCUUCCCUUUCUCCUCCAGUGAUGACGCCCUGUGAUUUCAGGGCAGGAGCUCUGGGGUCCUGGCACCCUGGGGUUUCUCUCCAGAUGAUUGCCUAUAUCCUCCUACUCCAGGGUCUUGGCCACCAGUUGAGCUGACCAGGUCCCUGGCAUCAAACGCUUUGUAGCCUAGCUGCUCCUUGGAAUCUGCUUCUCUAGUUAGCCAGCCCUCUCCCUCAGAGAGUGAGCACCUGGGUAUGGGGGCAGGGUGUGUGUGUGUGUCUGUGUGUGUCUGUGUGUGUGUGUGUGUUUAAGAGGGAGAGAGGCUUUGACUCAGUUUCUCUCCUCGAGUGACUUGUAAUGCUCCUCCGGACCCCCAUCCUCUAAACCCCCCAGAAAUGUCAAGUUUCUCAAAGUUUAGAGGAAAGGGAAGUCUCUAACCGCUACCUAACUGGUCAUAGAUAAGUUUACAGUAAGAGUACAAGUAUUUCCACUAACAAACACAUAGAGUGACUCCUUGGGAAAAUAUCGGGGUCCCUGGCUUUUUGCUUCCUAAGGUUGCAUUUGUAAUAAAGGAACAAAACUAUUGUCAAAAAUAUGAUUUAUUGCAAUUACUUUGGGAAAAGCACUCAACAUGAGAGAACUUCACUUUUUAGAGGACUCUGCUCAUUUCCCUCCAUAGAAAGUGAGGGGGGUACCUCCAGGCAUCCUAGCGUCGCUCAGUGGUGGUGGAAGCAGAAGUCCUGGUGGUAACUUCUGGUGAGGAUACGGAGGCCAAUGGCCCAUGGGGAAGGAAAAGUAAAGAACAUGGGAAAGUCUCCAUGUGGGAGAGAUGUGGAAAAGAAGGUUUUAGAAGAAGCAGCUGCUGGAUUGAAGAAUUACUGAAGGGUGGAAAGGAAAUUUUAAGAUGUGUCACUUGGAUUAUGACUGCAAUCUCCUUAAGUGUUUCUUAAAAGCACAAUAAAAGGUUCAAAUUACUUUUGGCUGCUGGACUAGUUUAUUUGAGUGAGACACUAUGCUAGAAUCAAACCACUUGGGAACCAGAGAUUUUAUUCAUCAAAU
rnacentral:lncRNA from 1 species